CAGCAGUGGGGAAUAUUGCACAAUGGGCGAAAGCCUGAUGCAGCGACGCCGCGUGAGGGAUGACGGCCUUCGGGUUGUAAACCUCUUUCAGCAGGGAAGAAGCGAAAGUGACGGUACCUGCAGAAGAAGCGCCGGCUAACUACGUGCCAGCAGCCGCGGUAAUACGUAGGGCGCAAGCGUUGUCCGGAAUUAUUGGGCGUAAAGAGCUCGUAGGCGGCUUGUCACGUCGAUUGUGAAAGCCCGAGGCUUAACCUCGGGUCUGCAGUCGAUACGGGCUAGCUAGAGUGUGGUAGGGGAGAUCGGAAUUCCUGGUGUAGCGGUGAAAUGCGCAGAUAUCAGGAGGAACACCGGUGGCGAAGGCGGAUCUCUGGGCCAUUACUGACGCUGAGGAGCGAAAGCGUGGGGAGCGAACAGGAUUAGAUACCCUGGUAGUCCACGCCGUAAACGGUGGGAACUAGGUGUUGGCGACAUUCCACGUCGUCGGUGCCGCAGCUAACGCAUUAAGUUCCCCGCCUGGGGAGUACGGCCGCAAGGCUAAAACUCAAAGGAAUUGACGGGGGCCCGCACAAGCGGCGGAGCAUGUGGCUUAAUUCGACGCAACGCGAAGAACCUUACCAAGGCUUGACAUACACCGGAAACGUCUGGAGACAGGCGCCCC
rnacentral:rRNA from 1 species